rnacentral:lncRNA from 1 species
UUUAUUUAUGUUUCUUAUGUUUAGAUAAUUAUUUACGCUAUUUCUGCUGGAGUUAAUAAUGCUCUUUUGUUUUUGUUUUUGUUUUCCUUCACUGAGCCAAGAGUCGAUUAGAAACAGCCUCUGUGCCCUUUCGGGUAGGGGUAAGGCUCGUCUACAUAUUACUCUCCCCAGACCCCACUUUGUGGGACUAUACUGGGUAGUAGUUGUUGUUGUUGAAUUGGCAAUUUGGUUCUUACAUUUUAUGUACUAGUUUCAAUACUUAUUAUGUUUGAAUUAUAAGGGUUGGGGAUUGCUUAAUCUGGUUUAACUAUGGCUUCAUAGAAAUCAGUAAUUGUUAUAAUUCAGUUCCCUCUGUGCUUUCUGGCUGAUAUUGUUUAUUAGCUCCGUCAAGAGACUACGAAUCAUAAGGACAUCUGACGCCAAUGGACUUGGUUAAGCGUGAGUCACAUGUAUGAUCCACAUGCUCCUCAUACAGAUUAAAACUGAGAUAACUGAUGCUGACUAAAUUCUUUGUUAGAAUUUCAGCUCCAAGUUUCAUGGAAAGAAAUGGAAGACAGGACUAAGCCUAUGCUAGUGGUUUAUAUGUUUUUCAGCGAAUGUUUUUGUUUUAUUGGUUCAACAUAGAUGGAAAAAGCGAGUCUGCUUCACGCGUGGAUAUAAGAGUAUCAUCAAGCGACAACAAUACAAAUCACCAAGUACUUUAUAUGUUUUGUAUAUUUAUUUGUUGAGGAACUACUCUAGAUUGUCUAAUGUUAAAGUUAUCAUAUAAUAUGUGUUUGUAAACUUUAGUUUGAUAUGAAUUUGCUUUGUAAUGUACGUUACAUACAUAAAAUAGAUAUUUUAAUUUAAUUUAUUUUUGGUUGUA